rnacentral:rRNA from 1 species
AACGAACGCUGGCGGCGCGCCUAACACAUGCAAGUCGAACGAGAAUCCGGGGCAACUCGGUAGUAAAGUGGCAAACGGGUGAGGAAUACAUGGGUAACCUACCCUUGAGAAGGGAAUAACCCGCCGAAAGGUGAGCUAAUACCCUAUACGCUUUGUUCUUCAUGGAAAGCAAAGGAAAGUCAAGCUGAGGGCUUGGCACUCAAGGAGGGGCUCAUGUCCUAUCAGCUUGUUGGUGGGGUAACGGCCUACCAAGGCUACGACGGGUAGCUGGUCUGAGAGGAUGAUCAGCCACACUGGCACUGAGAUACGGGCCAGACUCCUACGGGAGGCAGCAGUGAGGAAUAUUGCGCAAUGGGCGAAAGCCUGACGCAGCGACGCCGCGUGGGGGAUGAAGGUUUUCGGAUUGUAAACCCCUUUUGUGAGGAAAGAUAAAGUGGGUAACCACUUAGACGGUACCUCAAGAAAAAGCCACGGCUAACUUCGUGCCAGCAGCCGCGGUAAUACGAAGGUGGCGAGCGUUGUUCGGAUUUACUGGGCGUAAAGAGCACGUAGGCGGUUGGGUAAGCCUCUUGGGAAAUCUCCCGGCUUAACCGGGAAAGGUCGAGGGGAACUA